CCUACGGGCGGCAGCAGUGGGGAAUAUUGGACAAUGGGGGCAACCCUGAUCCAGCCAUGCCGCGUGUGUGAAGAAGGCCCUCGGGUUGUAAAGCACUUUCAGUGAGGAAGAACGCCUGGUGGUUAAUACCCAUCAGGAAAGACAUCACUCACAGAAGAAGCACCGGCUAACUCCGUGCCAGCAGCCGCGGUAAUACGGAGGGUGCGAGCGUUAAUCGGAAUUACUGGGCGUAAAGCGCGCGUAGGUGGCUUGAUAAGCCGGUUGUGAAAGCCCCGGGCUCAACCUGGGAACGGCAUCCGGAACUGUCAAGCUAGAGUGCAGGAGAGGAAGGUAGAAUUCCCGGUGUAGCGGUGAAAUGCGUAGAGAUCGGGAGGAAUACCAGUGGCGAAGGCGGCCUUCUGGACUGGCACUGACACUGAGGUGCGAAAGCGUGGGUAGCAAACAGGAUUAGAUACCCGAGUAGUC
rnacentral:rRNA from 1 species